GCGAGAGUGGUGGAAUUGGCAGACACGCUAGAUUUAGGUUCUAGUAUCUUUGAUGUGCGGGUUCAAGUCCCGCCUCUCGCA
rnacentral:tRNA from 1 species